rnacentral:lncRNA from 1 species
UUUUUUUUUUUUUUUGAUAACCCAGUAUCCAGACCACACAGUGAUCUGACUAGCCCACUGGGCCUAAGCCCGCGUCACAUGGAUUUUUAAGCCUCCACUUAAGGGCCCCCUGAUAAACUAGUGGUCUGGGGCGCCUGAGCAAGUCCGCAGGUAAAUUCCCAGGUGGCCACAGGAGUGAGAGAGCGAAACUGCGUCUGGGGAGGAUCGAUCCCUGGCCUAGACCAACAGGGCGAUCCUUCCAACCAAACGAGAACCAUUCGCCC